rnacentral:rRNA from 1 species
CACUAUGCCUAGCCUUAAACAUUGAUGAUAGCUUACAAUUAUCAUCCGCCUGGGAACUACGAGCACCAGCUUAAAACCCAAAGGACUUGGCGGUGCUUUAGACCCACCUAGAGGAGCCUGUUCUAGAACCGAUAACCCCCGUUCAACCUCACCCUUCCUUGUUCUUCCCGCCUAUAUACCACCGUCGUCAGCUUACCCUGUGAAGGAUUAAUAGUAAGCAAAACUGGCAAAGCCCAAAACGUCAGGUCGAGGUGUAGCGUAUGGAAGGGGAAGAAAUGGGCUACAUUCACUAACUCAGUGUACACGAAUGACACCCUGAAACACGUGUCUGAAGGAGGAUUUAGCAGUAAGUAGAAAAUAGAGCGUUCUACUGAAACUGGCCCUGAAGCGCGCACACACCGCCCGUCACUCUCCCCGAGCUAAGACUCUCGAGUAAAUAAAUAACUACAACUGCAAAGGGGAGGCAAGUCGUAA